CUUUCACCUCUCCUUCCUGCUGUGCCUGAGGAGGGAAGGAGGAGGCAGCAGCUCCGGCUCGGGAAGGUUUUCUGAUGUAGUCAUCGGGGAGGUGCCAGCAGCUCGUGUGUGCUUCCUCUCCCUUUCCUCCCUCCCUGGUUUCAAACUGAUUGAUGAAUCUCUACAAGUUGCUGGGGUUGGGGCCGGAGCGGUCGGAGUCCCAGGGACACUUCUGAGAGCUCCCCCGGGGCUCUCUGCACGCCGCGUGGGGGUUCAGCCUCGCUCCCGGAAGGCGAGCGGAGACUGACAUCAGCCCAUCCCGGACUUGGAGGGCUCCAUCCGAAAGUGAUUGUUUCCCCUCCCGCCUCGCAGCCCAGCAGUUGGCUUGGCGUCGCCCUGCAGGUUUGGGCAUCCCGGCCCCGCCUGGCUGGCUGGUUCACAACCUCUGCUCUUCAUUCACUCCGCGGCACCCACACCCGGCCAAGACCAGCGAGCAGGAGAAAUCCCCGCGUCAGCCAGCGCCCGGGGGGUGCCAUCUCUCGCUGCCUCUGCGGUCGGACUCCUCUGGGGGACCUGCUGGAAGACGUGGAGAGUCAAACUUUUCUUUGAGCUUUUUCCGAAGCAAGACCCGCCGCUCCUCCUCUCCUCGCCCCAGCGCUCGGCUGCGGCUUUGGGCAGUUCCAGGACGCCGGGAGAGCCCGGCUCGCCCAUCCAGACCGCCACCUUCUUCUGAGCACCUCCGGGUACCGCAGUCCCCAGGACUCCAGCAAGGCUUGCCGGGGGUCGCCCGGACGAGGUACAGAAGGGAGGCUCCGGACAGCUUCCAGCCUCCUGGGGCCACAAGCGUGAGGACGCCACCCCUUCUCCGCCCCCCCUCCGCACAGCGCCCUCCUCCUGCAGUUUCUCUCCGGCCGCCAAAGUAACUUGGAGCAAAGCGGGGCGCACGGCGAGGGCCCAGCGCGGCGGAGGAACCCUGUGCAGACCGCGGCGCCGACACUGAGCCGGGCCCGGCGGGCCGGUGUAUGUCUCCCCGCGGCCGC
rnacentral:lncRNA from 1 species